rnacentral:lncRNA from 1 species
UGACUUCACACAUCAUCUGUUCUAACCUGCCCCUUGGCAUUUUGGUCCUCCUGGUUUUGACCCUUGCCUGUUCCUGGACUUUGUACCCGCCUGCCUGACCAUUCUGCCUGCCUUGACCACGAGCCUGCCUGCCACUCUGUACCUCCUGGACUCUGAUCUGGUUUUGACCUUUUUGCCUGUCCAAGACCAUUCUAUUGCCUUCCCCUUUGGAUUAAUAAACAUUGUAAGACUCCAACCAUCUGCCUCCUGUGUCUGCAUCUGGGACUCUCCUUGUGCCUUGAUACAUUUGUGUGUAUGUGUGUGUGUGUGCAAGAGAGAGCGAUAGAGAGAGAGAGAGCCAUAGAGAAGCUACAUGAGCAUGUAGCACUAUGCCUAAACCCUGCUGAAAUGAGGGGAAGUGCUGGCUGUUAAAAAGUCUGUUCGGUAGCAUGUUUACGCCGGUUUAGAUGAUAGGGGAAACGGUGGGAGAUAUCCCAUUAAAAUGUAACACAUGAAUAUACAUUGCAGCUUACACAUUUCUUGAGCUAUUCCCUCAAUCCCGCUCAUCGCCAACGGUCUCACACAUAAACAACACACAUACAGACAUACUCAAACACACACAUAUACACACACCAGUGGAAGCUGGUGGGAGGAGCUAUAGGAGGACAUGCUCAUUGUAAUACCAUUUAUACCAUUCCAGCCAUUAAAAUGAGCCCGUCCUACUAUAGAUCUUCCCACCAGCCUCCACUGACAAACACACAGACACACAUACUCAAAUACACACACACAUGCACGCACAGGGAGAUCGUUCAAGAUUGAUGUCAAAAUUGGACGUCCCGAGGACGUCGGGAAAUGGUUUCAAAACUGGCCACUAGUGGCAACAAUGAGUGCGAUUACCAUCAAGAAGGCUUGGGUUUUGAUAGGGCGUUGUGGACAGGGGUGGUGGAUGGGCGUAAUCCCAUGGGUUAAGAUUUGGGAUAUGGUUAAAAAAAAAGUUUAACCACUUAUCCGGAAUGGUCAAGGUAUAGGUUACGGUUUGGGAUAGGGUUCAAACAUUAAGUUUAACCAGUGUCCACAACGAGCAUCAAACACACAACCUUCGGAUCCAGAGUCAUGGGAUACCAUGCAUGAUCGAUGCCAGUCGUAGACACUGGUUUUAAUUGUUUUGUUUGAAACCUAUCCCAAACCUUAACCCUUACCUUAACCAUUCAGAAUGAGUGCCUAAACAUAACCCUUAACUUAGAAAUGCAGCACUUGGUGAAAUGGAAUGAUACUGAGCAGCAGGAGAAACAAAAACACUUCUAAAUUUGACAGUUGGAGCAACUUCAAAAUGUUAUGUUUUUUAGGACAUGGAUGAACGUCUAAUGCUGCAAUGAGACUGUGAGAGCUUGUUGUGCAUGCAUGCCAGCACACACACACACACACACACACACACACACACACACACACACACACACACACAGUUCAUCUUUUUGGCCUUCAGCUGAUACAGCACUCAUCUUCUUUAUAACAUCCUUAUUGAUUCUCCUCAUUCACAGCAAAGGAAGAUAUAUACAGUAGUGGUCUGUGGAGCCAGCUCAAGGUUAACCUUACAAAUCAUUAGCUAUUUAAAUACUGCCAGCUGGAAUAAAGAGCUUAAUAAACAGACAGGAAAUACGGUAUGAGAGAGUAGGUCUGGAUGGAGCUCUACCUGUUCCCCAUUAUAGUGGUG